CGCCGACGUCAGAGUACGUAUUUGCAUGCCAUACCGGAGCGCCGGUGUCUGUCCAUAGCGGGUCCAUGGUGUUACAGCCCGGAAAAGUUGAGGGACAGACCCGGGGAAAGUGGCACAACUCCCCGCGCAGGCCUCCGGCCAUUCUCCCCGGCCUGCCCUCCUUCAUACGUGGACGCUCCUCGAAGGUAACUUGGCUCAGCAGAGACGUUCAAGUUUCCAGCCCUGAAGUCACAGAGGCCAGCAGUUCACAAGCAACAGUGACCUCCGCUGGCCCCAACCUAGAACAACUGAUUCUGACCUUGGACCAUGUGCUCAUGAUGUUUUCUAGGGGCCGACUAAUAUGGGAUUUUUCAGACCGAUACAGUACAGAUUUUAGAGGGAAAAAAUUCACCGAUUAUUGACAUGGCAACCAAUCUAAUGAUUCGGAAUUAAAAUAGACAUUUUUUUUUUGUGGAUUGUGCACCAAUUUUGCACUGAUAUGACAGGUGCACAGGUGGUCAGAAGGCUACUUUUGUACACAAAUAACUUUCUUCAAGAAUAUUCAGGGUUAUACAUUGUCAACCAAUUCUAGAAAUGAACGCUGAGAAAAUAAUGAUAAAUAAAUAGCUAAGUAAACAUCA